rnacentral:lncRNA from 1 species
UUGGAACCUAAAAGAUAUAGCAUUGACUAUUAUUUCUUUAUAGGUUGAUUUAUUAAAAGGAAGAAGGAAGUAAUUUUAUAUGUGUUUCCUGCUGUACAAACCUCACGAAAACAGAGUUUAUUUCAUAUUUGUUACCUGAUGUAUCGGUUGAUGCAAGCUUCAAGCAUUGGUUUCUCAAGAAGAGAGAAAGAAUGGCAUCCAGGUGUCCGAACUUUCCUUGCCAAUCACCCACCACCAAAUUGAUCUUGUUAGGACUUCACUCUUCUUCCUGUUCCAGCGAAAACUUAAAUAAGUCCUUGCUCCCCAACUCAUUUCCAAUUUGAGGAGCAUCAGGUCUGAAUUGGCAUUCGUGUGAUUGAG